GAAGCUUGCUUCUGCCUGGCGUCUGUGAGCAGCUGCCAGGCUCUGGCCAGGAUCCCUUCCUUCUCCUCACUGGCUGAUGGAUCCCAAGGGGCUCCUCUCCUUGACCUUCAUGCUAUUUCUCUCCCUGGCUUUUGGGGCAAGCUACGGAACAGGUGGGCGCAUGAUGAACUGCCCAAAGAUUCUCCGGCAGUUGGGAAGCAAAGUGCUGCUGCCCCUGACAUAUGAAAGGAUAAAUAAGAGCAUGAACAAAAGCAUCCACAUUGUCGUCACAAUGGCAAAAUCACUGGAGAACAGUGUCGAGAACAAAAUAGUGUCUCUUGAUCCAUCCGAAGCAGGCCCUCCACGUUAUCUAGGAGAUCGCUACAAGUUUUAUCUGGAGAAUCUCACCCUGGGGAUACGGGAAAGCAGGAAGGAGGAUGAGGGAUGGUACCUUAUGACCCUGGAGAAAAAUGUUUCAGUUCAGCGCUUUUGCCUGCAGUUGAGGCUUUAUGGUAAUAAUGGCGGCUUCCCCAGGCCACGCUAAAGGGCCAAGGUGCUCCUUUGACCAAGAAUUUAGGUCUCUCUUAAAAGCAAAGGGUAUUCAGAAUUGGAAGUAACUAGAAUGAUCUUCUAGUUUGGGGGUAUUUAAACCUGCUGCAUGGAAGACGUUUUAAAGGUUGACUUUUUUUUU
rnacentral:sRNA from 1 species